AGACAGCGAAAAAAAAUGAAUGAAAUAAGUAUCUAUACAAUAGUACAAGAUCCAUUCAUCGAACAAGUGGUUGAAGGUACAAAUCUACUAAAAAGAGUACAAGCUACAAAAUAACCUAUAUAAGACGGACUUAUCUUGAAUACAAAAGACUAGACAAAAACUAUAUGCAAAUGGAGAUGAGUAGAACUAAGACGUCAUCAGCUCACCCUCCAUAUCCAAAGUUCACGUUGCAACACCAAAAUAAAUGUUAUCAGCUGGCGCGCAAAUCUGCAUCAGAAAAAUAGAAGUAGAAUGUAGCAAGAGUAUCAAAACAAUGGGUACCUAGUAGGCAUCAUAGGUCUACUAUCUUGGAAGGAAAAAAAUAUAAAGAAAAGAUAGGAAAUAGAUGGUUGUUGAGAGCCAUAUAUAUGGUACUAUAGCAGAAAGUCUAACUAUAAACCUCAAUAAUCUAGAAGGAACAAGCGGUAACGUAAAGCGGCUAUCGAUAACCUAAUUGGACCGUAUAAGAUCAGAAGGUACACUCAUGCACAAAUUGAAAGCUAAAUAACCCAAAUGGACCCCUGUAAACCGAACGGCACCUAGGAGAGCUAAAGAAAUUCGUAGUUAUGACUAUGUAUAAUUUGGAAUUUUAAUGCUCCACACUGGACUCAAACCGUAGCGACGAUACGUCGAAGAUACCCCAAUGGAACAAAGACAUCAAAAUUUAAAUCUAACUAAUAAAUGUGGAAUACUCUUAAGAACUCCAAUAUCACAAGGUCAACAUUAGGCUAGAAAUAAACCAUAUAUCGGUAACGCCUUUGUAGUCACAAGUGACCCACUAAAGCUCAAAACCAAUGUUUCGAUCUGAUGUAACCAAGGAGGUCUAGAAUAACAAUAUAAAACACAUCGGCACAUAAAAUAGGGAAGUUAUGGUUUACAUUUCAGUAAGAUCAUAUUUGACAUCGAGCUAAACAUUCAUACCAUUAAACCCAAGUCAGCAUUAUUAGUCUACAAGAACCUAGAACCUUCUGAAGUAAUAUUGAAGGAUUCUAUGGUACAAUGGCUCAUAAGUAGAAAUUUAAUGGCAAUCACUACCCCACAUCUAGGCUAAGGGAAAUCAUAAGUCACCAAAAUCAAUACAACUAGACAUAUAGUUAGAAAUGACAUAAUACUACAAUGCAGAAAUUGUAGUUAUGAUUAAUUACCCUGAAAUUACCGAAAAAGAAGGCUAAGACAUGAUUUAUAUCAACUAAACAUGAAUACAUUCUAAGAAUCUUCCUAAAACUAGCUAAAUAACAUGUAAAUAUUGUUGCUCUCAAUUGCACACACAAGUGUACCCGGUCGCAAAAGUAAUAUAGUGGCUCUUAAAAGAAUUAGAUCAUCGAACCCAAAGGACUUGUCAAUUAACUAUUUUUACUAAAUUAUAUUAGUCUAAUUAUUUUUAAGAGUGCCAAAAGAAAGGAAUACAGAAAUAAAAUAAUAAAAUAACUUGAUUUGGAAAAUUAAGGGUUGCAGCAUGUAUUGAAUCUCAUGUAUCAUAUUAUUGGCUUAGAACAACUUUUAGUUUUCAAGUUACUGGUUUAUAAAAUUAAUUUUAUAACUCGGGCUGCACACCUCUUUGUCACCUACACUCAUUAUCCAUCUAACUACAUCGUUAAGCGGAGAUAUAUAGACUAACCGGUGAGCAUUUAUUUUUCAUCCUAUUUCAUAACCAAGCAAGUUGUUCGUCCGGUCAUCACUCCUAAGCAAAAAUCACCUCAAUCAAAUGGGUCGAUUGGGCUCUCUAUAUUUUCUGGUCUAUGUAACCUCUCCUCUCCUGAUUUUAAGAUUAAACAAUAAAUUAUCUCUAGAUUGACAGUCAAAAAAUACUAAAACAAGAAUAUAGAAGUAACUUAUAUUGACAACCAAGAAUUAAUUGAAAAAGCCUUAAAUAUUCAACAUUUGAUUCGUAGCUAUAGGCCAAGAAAUAUGGUAUUUAGCUACUAAUCUCUAAGAAAACAAGAAGAAAAGAACCCUCAAAGUGUUGACGACUUUCUCUUCCACAGUACCUCCUAAUUGAUCUCCUCCUCUACAUUGAUGUUUUUUCUAAUAUUUAUUUCUAUGAACUAUUUAUAGAUGUAUUAAACCCUAAAUAAAAUAAUUGAAUCCAAAGCAUAUUAGGAAUCCAAAACCAAAUGGAAUUUGAUUCUCUUAUUUUUUUGCAUGAAUCGAGGGUUUCAUUGGUCGUGGCAGCAAUGUUUGUAUUGAAAGUGAAUUUCACUUGCUAUUGCACUUCAUAUUUAUAAAAUAUUAUUAUAUUCAAUUUAAUUUAUUAAGUUUUUUGCUUGAUUUCCUUCUUCAACCUUCCAUCUUUAAUUCAUUUUUGCUCCAAACGUUUUCAAGAUUACAUCAAUUUACUCCUACUUAUAAAAUAAACUUUUUAGCACAAUCCAUAAAUUUUAUUCAUAAAAAGGACAGAUAUAAAUAAUAAAUUUGAGGCAAAUAAUAAUUAAAUAUAUUCAUUUUUGACGUCACACCAGUACCCCACACUGAAACUUUUGCUCGUCCUCAAGUAAGCAUUAAAACUCAUCACAAAAAAAUCAUACUAGGCUUGUCAUCAAUUUUGUUAACGCAAACAAUUAGGCCAUAUACCAAUUUCAAAACAACAAGUACACUUUUCAAUUGUUAUGCAAGACAUUCAAAUAAAAAACAAUCUCUAACCUCCUAACCUCAAGAAAAGACUUCGAACUUAUCAAAUUUAAGCUUGCUCACCUAGUUUCAUCAAAGAAAGCUAAUAAAAUCAUAAAUCCAUCAUGAAAUAAGUGCCCUCACUAGAAGAAUCAUUCCACACACUCAAUUCAAAAGAUUGAAUACUAAAUAAGGAAUUCAUAUCAAGAACAACUCUUACACUCACAAAUAAAAUUCACAUGUAUGCACAAAGAACCAUAGCCUUGCCCAUUUUGUAAAUCAUGACUAAUUAAGCAUGCUUGAAUAGAAUCAACUAGGACUUUAACGGGUUGUAUUGUAGGCUAGAGACAAGUAGGAAAACUAUAUCAUAGUGACUUACACUUCCUUACACACUUUGUACUUUUUGACUUCAUCACUAAUUAUUAUUUUUUCUCUUUAUUUUCAACCAUUUCUUCAAUAAUUAUUUCACAAUUAAUUUCCAUCAUCUCAAGAAUAUUUCAAUUUUUUUAAGUUUUCCUUCAUAAUAGUAACUCUCAACUCAUAUAUUUUACAUGCUUUAAGGUGCACGAUGUCCUUGGAAGGACCAGGACCAUCAUCAAGGUAACUUUUUUUUUGUUCAUCUAUCUCUUUUUUUAAUCACAUUCAUUCAAACAGGGAUUUUAAGAACUAUGUAUUUAUCAUUGAUUACCUUUUUAAGUCAACCAUCCCUUUUUCUUUGAAUUGUUAUUUAUAAUAAGUCUAUGCUAUAUUGCACAAAAAAAAGGGAUUCAACAAAAUAUUCAAGGGAAAAAUAUUGUUACCAACAAAAGGCUGCAUGUCACGAAUCGAAUUCUGAAAUCUGAAUCGCAACCGGCAUCGUUGACCUCCAGGGGUCGCAAACAAGCCUCUUCUUGCAUUUGUCACAUUCAUAUGGUUACUUUUAGCGGAAAAUUUAAAACAUUUAAAGUUAUGAAGUAUGCAUAGACUUCAUAUAGUUAUUUCAUGAAUUCAUCAUAUACUAAGCACAACAUAAAUAUAACAAUCAUCUAUCAUCAGAAUCAAUUUGAAAUAGAAUAAGAAUACAUCAUAAAUAUGUUUGCUAAACACGACCUUAUUACAAAAGCUUCGAAAUGAAAUUAUGAGCGAAACGCUAGGGACAACAUCCACUAGAUUUUUCUAAAACUAAGGCUAGACUAAAACUGUAUCAUCCUCGAAAUCAAGAUGACUUACCAAAUGGUCUGGAAAAAUGCUGAUGUCCAAACCGUUGCAAGAAUUGUCAAUCUGUCCCUUAACCUGCAUCUUUAAAGUAGUAAAUAGUAGGGGUUAGUACACCACUUGUACUAAGUAUGGGUGAAUGCACACAUACACAUAAGGCUAUGGAUAAUCAAAGAAAGCUCUUCCUAAACAACAUGAUAUUUCUGGAAAGCCUAGUCACUAGACUUUCCAAAAUCGUUAGUUGUGAAAUAUGGUAUGAAUAUGAUGUAUUUUAAAUGCAUUCCAAUCACACAACUCAUUUUCAACAUGAUUAAAAGACAUAAGUAUCAUCAACAUAAUUUUAGAACAACUGGGGUGAAGAUUUGAGAUUUUUGAUCCUCUUAGGCCGAGAGGUCCUCUUUGUACACUUAUACCAUUUUUUCAGUCUUUUUCUUCUUGUUAUUGUGUAGUUCAAUAAUUUUAUUGGUCCUAUGUUUUACUUACAGGUGCAAUGAUUCAUUGUAGUCCCAUACUCACAAUGAAUCGAUGUAAGUAAUCCAAGGACUAAGGAAUGAUUUCCCUACCAUAUGGUGAGUCAUUCUUUACACUAUAUAUAUUCAUUACCUUUCAUAAGCAAUUCUCUAUUGAUCAUGCCAUUGAUUUCAUUACUUUCAUGUUUUAUAUAUUAUACAUUUCAUAUACACGAGACUUUGGAAUUGUUGGUGUAGCAUAAGACAUAUCAAGUGAGGACCCAGCAUAUGGAACCUCAACCCGAGGUCCUUCUUUAGCAAACACAGAGUCUGCUUCAUUCGUUAAUUCGUACUUCACAUUGUUCAUUUCAUUCAUUCGUAGGUUGAUGUAAACACCAGCUAUACCUAAGAUGAAGUUUAAGAAUCUCAUUGGGAUCAUGAAGUGCAAUGACCAAGAAUAACCUAAUGUCAUUACUUGAAUCUGAUUUCACCUCCUGAUUGUCUAGCAAAAACACCUUCGAUAUCAUUCAUUUCAUUAUCUUUCAUACUUUGAGGUUGACCUCAUUCUUUCUUUGGGAACUUUAACUUUAACCGACAUAGAUCAUGUGAGCAUAAUGAAAUCCAGUGUCUGCCCCACACCGAAAAAUUGACCAAAAAAUUGACCCAAAUCAUAUAUACAUGGAUCUAACCUAACGAAUUCAAGAACAACACCUAGAUCAUCAAAGAACUCCUAAAUCUCAACUCAUGUUCAAGAACAAAGCAAUUGAAGAACAACAUUCAAGAACAUUCAAAAAUCCUAUUUUUUGGGAUGAAAUCGCAUUUAAUUAAACAUGCUUCACACGUGGGUGAACGAACCCAACGUUAUGGAAGACUCACAUGAUUCUUUAGGGAUCACCAUUAGCGAAAUCCACAAGUUAUUCUUGACGAACUUAACAAUCUUGGCUCUUUUUUUCUUUCUUCUUCGCUUGCGUUCUUUCUCCAAAACCCUAACCUUUCUCCAAAGGUUAAAAACUGACAAGUUCUGUUUAGACCCUUAAUAAUAUUAUCAAAAUCUAAUUUAAUUAAUUGGGUAAAAAAACCAAAUUACCCUUUUAAUUUCCGGAUUGGACAUUUUCUUAAUCCAACAUCCCAACUUCCAAAAGGCAUAACAUACUCAUCCGAAGUCGAAAUUUCGUAAACUUGGCAGCUUUGGAAAGAUUGUUCCAAGGUCUUUCCAAUCAUAUCCAGAACUACACCAAAAUCAUCUUGAGCUAGGAUUUAUGAUCAUUUGAAGUUGACCAAAAAACUCUCUUUUUCCUAAUUUAAGAAAGUUUCCAGAUUUUAAUUCUUUUCAAAACUGACUAUCAACUUCUAAGCUUUUUCCUAGCUAUUUCGAUUUGUGAGAUUUUACAGUCAAUAUUGGCUUCACGAACAAACUCAACUUCUAAAGUUUCAAGAGUCUAUCUGUGAUGGUCUUACAUACAUGACAACACAUAUUGAAGGAAAAGUUGAGGUCACAUGAGAAAUAGAUCAAUUUGACUCAUAUAUUCUUGACUUAGAGGCUCAACUAAACAAAAAGAUUGUGGCGUCUGAAUCCCAAUUGCCAACUAAUGUGGAUGAUGACUAACUAAUGGAGAAAAAAGAGGAAUUUCAACCAUUCAACUACACAUUAUUCCUUAUAUCGAUGUUGAUAAAGAGUGCAAAACUGAGAAUGUUGUAAAUAAUGUUGCUUUAGAGUUGAGGCAACUGGAAUCUCAUUCAAAACAUUUUUAUGUAAUAUCUAAACUAAUGGAUGAUUGUGUCGAUGAGGAACAAGGCCCCUACAUUCUAAAGGUUUUUAGUCCAUAUAGACAAAAGGUCAUUCCUCGCCUAAGGGCCAAGAAGUAUAAGAUGCGACAUAUAUUACUUGGUUCUUUUAUCUUUAUACCACCGCUCCUUGAGAGGAGUAGAAAAGUUGAUGCAAUGUUAAGGGUAAAAUUCAUUAGUUCAAACUUAAAAGAAAAGUGGUGAAUUUAUUUGUGUCGUGCCGCGACAUUAAAUUAGGUACUUAUUGGGAGGCAACCCAAUUUAUGCUGUAACUUUUUUUUUAGUGUCAUUUUUUGUGUGUUGUUUACAGGUUCGGAGAAUUUGGAGUAUCCGAAAUUUGGAUCUAAGGGGCAUGUUUGAGCUCAAGUGUGGGAUGUGUACGACCAUUGAUGAAAAUAAAGAGAACAUGCUACUAGCUAGGCCUAAAGGCCUCAGGGAUUUUUUCUAACCCUUGUUUCAAAUUUGUUUGAUGCUUUGGAGACAUAGCAUUCUCUUAAGUGUGGGGUGGAACAAUAAAUUUCUAGUUUUAUUGUUUUAUUGAGGGGAUAAUGCACAUGUACCCCCUCAACCUAUACCCAAAAUCUCAGAGACACACUUAUAUUAUACAAAGAUCCUAUUACCCUCCUGAACUUAUUUUAUUAAUAAUAUUCUACCCCUUUUCGACUUACGUGGCACUAUCUUGUGGACCCAACACUGGUUGACUUUUUCUUUCAAACUAGUGUCACUUAGGCCUAAAAAGGGUAGAAAAUUACUUAUAAAAUAAGUUCAGGGGUAAUAGGACCUUAGUAUAGUAUAAGUGUGUCUCUGAUUUUUCGGGCAUAGGUUGAUGAUGUACUUGUGCAUUUUCCCGUUUAUUGAGUUUUGUUCUUUUAGGAUGGGUUCCUUGAAUUUUGUUUUCGGUUAUUUUCCUAAGGAUAGUUCCUUUGAACAGAGUGUCUUUCAUUUUUUUAGGAAUAUUUUUUUUUUGUUUUUUCUAAGAAAAAAGAAAAGACAUUUUAAGUGUCGUGGUACUAGCCAUUUAGGUCUAACAAAGUGUCUUUUUUUUGUUUGAUGCUUUGGGGACAUAACAUUCUUGUGAAUGCUUGAUUAAAAAAGAAAUUCUUACUCUUCGACACCUAAGCUCAUGGUUAUGUGUUGUGACUUUGUAUAUAGCUUAUUUUAUUAUGUAGUUUAAUAUGAUCCUCUCGCUCUUAGAAGUUGAAUUGAUUCAUCUUGAUUGAUACUUUUGUCAUGUGUAGUGAGUUUGUUUAUUUAAUGAGUUGCAUCUUAAUGUAGAACUUGCCUACAUGUUAUUGAAGCAAAAUAAAAAAAAAAGUGUUGUUUUGUCAAGAAGAUGAUAAUAGGAUAUGUUUGAUUUGUCUGGUAAAUUUUAGCCUUUUCAGAUAUUAUAUCACUGAUUAGCGUUUUCGAGCAUUUAGUGUAACAUUCCGAAAAAUCAUAUAUCUAUUGAAGAGCCAGUAAGUCUGUUAGAAUACGUAUUGGGGGUAAAUAGGCAUUUCAAUGCCCAAUAUUGAGAAAUAUCAGGUAUAUUAUAGAAAAAUGGCUAAAGGGUGUUAGCCAAUUUCUAUAUAUACCCAAAUAAACAAAAUAUAGUCCAAGCUUGUUUAGAAAUGUACCUGCAAAGAAGACCCUAAAAUAAAAUGAAUUGUGAUAAUUAUCUCCAACAUAUAUAUUAGGUACUAGGCAUCAAAGUGUCAAACCUAAUACCAUAAUACAUAACCAUUUAAAAUGAUCAUAUAGAGUAAGCAGUGCCCAAGGACAUAGUGAGGAUCCUUGGAACAAUAAGUAAACGUUCCAAAAAACCAUAAAUAAUAGUUAGUUAGGAAAGUACAACCAAUCCAUGUGCAAGCACAUAUGCAAGACAUGUGAAGAAGCACUAAAGGAGGGGACAAUCAUAACCGAAUUUUGAUAAGGUAGUUAAGGGGGAAAAAGCGUGCAUAAGGGACCACUCCAUGUGGGUCCUAACUUCCUAACAAAUUUUAGACUCUAACAUGCUGCCCCAAAUAGCUAACUAACCUAGGAAUAACCGAAAUGGACCCACUAGUGCACCUGACAACCUAGGACCAAAACGGGUUGACACUAACCUAGUAUUAAUUAAAGAGACAACCUAGUACCUAACCUAGGAUGGUCCAAAAGCUUAGUUAUUGUCCUAUCAACUAAGGGGUACUUUAGUAAUUCCCCUAGGUGACCUAAUUAAUUUAUUUAGCAAAUUAAUUAAUUAAUUUAAAAGGGCUAAAACCAAAACAACAAAGGAAAUUUUCACAUUUUGGCUUAGACGAGAAAGGGACAACCUAGUACCAAACCUAGGAUGGUCCAAAGAGUUAGUUAAGGUCCUAACAACUUAGGGAUAAUUUAGUAUGUACCCUAGGCUAACUGAAAUUCAAGAUUUCGAUUGAGAAGAAAAAGACAACCAAGUAUUUAACCUAGGAUGGUCCAAAGGAUUAGUUAUGGUUAUAACGACUUAAGGGUACUUUUAUAAUUAACCUAGGUUACUUAAUUAAAUUAAAUUAUCCAUUUAAUUAAAUAAAUUAAAGGGGUCAAACCAAAAUUCUUAUACUAACCUAGUAUAAUUCAAAAAACAUCCUAGUACUUAACCUAGGAUGGUCCUAAAGGGUUGAUUAUGGUUCCAAUGACUUAGGAGUACAUUAAUACUUACCCUAGGUCCCUGAAUUAAUUAAAUUAAGGAUUUAAUUAAUUAAUAUAAAGUCAAAAUUUUGACCUAAACCAUAGUCAACACCGAAAUUUCAGAUUUUAGGUUAAGUCAACAUUCUCCUAUGUUUAGUCAACUUAGGAGGGUUUUUUUAGUAAUUAGUUAAUUAAUUUAUUUAAUUAACUUAUUAAACCUCAAGUUAAAUGAUUCAAGAUCAGUUCUUAAACCUAAAAAAGACGUUAAAACUCAUAGAAAAAAAAGACGCAAAAACAGUAAGCAACGAACGCAAGAAAAAGGCAGAAAAAUUAUCAAUUUCUCUAGGGCGAUUACAAGGUCUCUUCAAGGUUUAUUCAAGGUGGUCUUCGUAGAUUAAGUUCUACUUGAGGUAUGGCUUUCUCUCCUGGAAUUCUUUCUGCAAGAGUAUUUUCCUUCGAACGAUUCACAAGAUCUUGAAAACUAGGGUUGUUCCCGUCGAUCUCGUCGAACUUUCCUUCCCUAGGAUCCUUUUCGAUUUCAAUGUUGAAUAGGUUAGAGAUCAUGUUGUUGGUAUGUGUUGUUGGUUGUUCUUAACAGAUAUUGUUCUUGAAUGAUGAGUAUCGAAUGAAUAUAUGAACUUGUAAUUGCUUAAUGUUAAUCUUAUCAUGAUAAUAAGAAUCAAUAAUAUGUUAAGUUAAGUCCGUGAUGUGUUAAGUGAAUAUGUGUCCUUGGCUUAAUGUCGACUUGUGGUAGUUGUGAUGUUAUAAAGAUGUUAAAGCCAUCAAAUUUUAAUAUAAUGCUUUCCAAUAUGUUCUUAAAACGUUACACUAAAAUCCAUAAAGUAAGAAUUGACUCAAAGAUAUCUAUGAAAUCAUAUCUUUAAUGAAUUGGCUAUCUGGCUCCAAUAAAGUUGGCUGACUCUAUUUGGUCAAAAUGAAUAUAUGCUAAUGGCUAGGAACUUAUGUAAAUGAUUGAAAGAUUGACUAAGGAUUCAUACAUAUGGCAAUUUAAAUAAGAACAUACGUAAAAAUUGUCUUAUGCCAAAAAGAAUGAAUUUGCUAGUCUAACAUCUCAAAUCUUGAGCCAAUACUAAUCAUAUGUCAAUUCUUGUGUAGUAAGAGUAUCAAAUAUAUAUUAAGCACUUCUAAAGUAAUAUCAAUGAAUCCAUGACCAAGGGCAUGACAUUCAUUGGGACAACUCCCAACAUGCUCCACAAAAAUGAACUAUGAACUCAUGAAACUCAUUUAAUGAAGUGCUCAUCGUCCAUAAACGAUUAUAUGAAUCUACUACACUAAAGUAAGUAACGUGAGUUGUAACAUAAUUAAAGGGAUCUAAAGUAAGUAAUUGACCAGAAUGGGGUGUUAAAGGAAGUGAGACCACUCUCACUUACACCUAAGCUACUAUGUUAAAAGAAUACUCACGUAUGAAGGUGUUAGAAUGUAUGAGUCAGUCUCAAUAACGCCAAAGGAUGAUAUGUAAGGAAAAUUCACAUUUCAUCAAUGUAAAGUAAGGAUGACCAGUCGUCAAUAGAGGAAGUAAAUCUCAAUCUAGAAGCAAGCCUCCAUAAUGCUUGAGUCAACACUAAAAGAUAAAGAAGAAAUGAACAUUCACGUAAUGAGAUGAGUAAUUAUGUUAAUAUAUUAUGCCAAUGAAAAUGGUGACAACAUGAUAAGAGGCUAAGAUGAAUCGUGAGACAAGUCUCAACAAAGCCUAAGUAAAGGUCACUAAAAGUACACACCUAAGAGAGUGUUGAAUAUCAAGAGCCAAUCCUCAAUAAUACUAUAUAUGUAAGUGUAAGGACAAUUCACACUUAAUACUAAUAAUGAGAUGAGAAAUCAUUUAAUGAGCAAUGAUGUACUUAUACUAGAAGUCAGCUUCCAUGAUGUAUGAGUUGAAUAUAAAUGGGACUUUAUAUGAGCGGUGAUGCCUUCCUUCGGGAAGGGCAGAGGUUCACAUAACUCUCAUAAGAACAUAUUGGACAGCAUUAUAUUAACAUUUGAUGGCUUUAACAUCUUCAUGACAUCAAGUCAACAUUCAGCCAAAAACACAUAUUAAUACAUCAUGGACUUAACUUAACAUAUUAUCGAUCCUUAAUUAUCAUGAUAAGAUAACUUUACGCAAUUACAAGUUCAUAAAUUCAUUUGAUAUUCAUCAUUCAAGAACAAUACAUGUUAAGAACAGUCAACACCACAUACCAACAACAUGAUCUCUCACCUAUUCAACAUUGAAAUCGAAAAGGAUACUAUGGAAGGGAAGUUCAACGGGAACAACCCUAGUUUUUAAAAUCUUAUGAAUCGUUCGAAGGAAAAUACUCUUGGAGAAAGAAUUCCAAGAGAUAAACCCAUAUCUUAAGUAGAACUUAAUCUACGAAGACCAUCUUGAACAAAAACUUGGAGAAACCUUGAAAUCUCCUAGGAGAAUCAAUGGAAUUUUAUGUUUUUCUUUCCAUCGCUUGCUUACUAUUUUGCGUCCUUUUUUUUUCUAUGUGUUUGAACGUGAUUUUAAGGUUAAAGAACAGAUCUUGAAUUAUUCAACUUAGGUUUAAUAAGUUAAUUUAAUAAACAAAUUAACCAAUUACCAAAACGUCCCUCCUAAGUUGACUAAACAUUGGAGAACAUAACACUUAGUCAAAUCUAGAAAUUGGUGUUGACUAUGCGUUUGGUCAACAUUUUGACUUUAUAUUAAUCAAUUAAAUCCUUAAUUUAAUUAAUUUAGGUACCUAGGGUAAGUACUAAAGUACCCUCAAGGCAUUGGAACCAAAAUUAACCCUUUUGGACCAUCCUAGGUUAAGUACUAGGAUGUUUCGUGAGUUGUACUAGGUUAGUGUAAGAAUUUUGUUUUGAUCAUUUAAACUAAUUAAUUAAAUUGUUAAUUUACUUAAUUAGGUGACCUAAGGUAAUUACGAAAGUACCCUUAAGUCAUUAGGACCAUAACCAAUCCUUUGAACCAUCCUAGGAUAAAUACUAGGUUGUCUUUUUCUUGUUUUAACCGAAAUCUGGAAAUUGUUUUGUGAUUUCGGUUUUGCCCCUUUAAAUUAAUUUAUUAAGUUGUUAAAUUAAUCAAUUAAGUAGCCUAAGCAAAUUACUAAAGUAUCACUAAGUUUUUAAGACCUUAACUAACUCUUUGGACAAUCUUAGGUUAGAUAAUAGGUUGUCCCUUUCUUGUCUUAAUCGGAAUCUGAAAUUUUCCUUUUUAGUUUCGAUUUUAGCCCUUUAUAUUAAUUAAUUAAUUUCUAAAUUAAUUAAUUAACCAAUACGAAAUACUAAAGUACCCCUAAAUUUUUAGGACCAUAACUAAUCUUUUGGACCAACCUUAGUUAUGUACUAGGUUGUAUCUUUAACUAGUACUAGGCUAGUGUCAACCCGAUUUUGGUCCAAGGUUGUCGAGUGCACUAAUUAGUUUAUUUCGUUUGGUCCAAGGUUAGUUAGCUAUUUAGGUCAGUAGGUUAGAGUCCAUAAUUAGUUAGGAAGUUAGGCCCCACAUGGAGGGGUCCCUUGUGCACGUUUUCUCCCCUAACAUCCCUAACCGAAUUCGGUUAGGGUGGUCCCCUCAACCACUUCUUCAUAUGUCUUGCACAUGUGUUUGCACAUGGGUUGGUUGUACUUCCCUAACUAACUAUUAUUUAUGGUUCAUUUGGAAAUGUUUACUUAUUGUCCCAAGGACCCUUAGUAUGUCCUUGGGUACUGUUUAAUUUACAUGAUCAUUUUAAAUGAUCAUGUGCUAUGGUACUAGGCUUGACACUUGAAUGCCUACUACUUUGUGUGUAACUAUUCUAAACGGAUUUUUCUUUUAGCUUACAGUCUUCAUUGCAGGCACAUUUAUUGAAAAUCAAUCUUGUAUUGGGGUGUGAUAACCCAAAAAGUAUAUUUCUAAUAUGUAUAAGCAAAAUUGGCUGAUAUCCCUUAGCCAAUUUUUUAUACUAAUGCCCACUAUUCUCAAUAUUGGGCAUUGGUGUGUCUAUGUACCCCUAAUAGGUUAUCCUAAGGGCAUACUGGACUCUUCAUUAGACAUGAUUUUCCGGAAUGUUACAAAACUCCACAUGGCAUAGGGUGAAAUACCAUAAAACAUUAGAGCGAAAAAUGCUUUAAACUAGUAUCUUCGAGUUGUCAUUGGCUACAAAAAAUAAAAUGACCAUCUUAUUAUCCCCUAGUUAUCAAAUGUAGAAUAUUCAAGAAUUAGUGGUGAAAAUGAGCUCACUAAUAAUCCAUGUUUCUCUAUUAAAUGAUAGUAGACUAUUUAGACCAGGAAAAGGAUUGUAUCGCGAAUUAAGAAGAAUCCUCAUCUCAUGUAAUAAGUAGUCAACAAAAAUCUUUUACAAUCUCACCAAAGGGGAUUGGCAAACUAACAAAGGGUCCUUUUAAACUCUCAAAUCUGUCCAGACAUCUGUCAAAGAGAAUGGAUUCUCAAUCUGUACAGGAACAUAUCAAAAGGAAUUGCAUGUUCAUUUGCAAGACAUCUUCAUAGAAAAUAGAGGUGUGGAACAUUAGUAAUGGAAUCAACAUUUGCUACAUCUCUUGAUCGAGAAGACAUCAAGGUUUAGUAGUUAUAAUUGUUAAUUAUUAAUUACAUUUUGGCAGGGUAGCUUUAAUCGUGACAUAUAUCCAACACUUAUAUACAUGAUGACUACUACUGGGAAGGCACAUAGUCAAAUAGCAGCCCUUGGGCUAUACUAAGGACAUUAUACUUAAGUCUAAAAAUUUAUUGGCAUUUCUAAAGAACAUGUUCAGUUUCCCACUCAUUAAUAUGAAGAUAAACUAACAACCUUUUAUCCUAACCAAGAGGAGCUGCAUAAUUCUUACCUUUUUUGGUGAAGUUAAAACUGAUAAAACUACAAAAAGAUUGACCUUUCAACUAAAAGUUAGGACCAAUGUUAAAUCCAUUUCUAAAUACUUUAUGUUAGUUUUGCCAAUGGAGAUCUUGCAGUAGUUAAACCUGGUAAAACAAGAUGUUAUUUGUUAUCUGCUUCGAAUAGAUAAUACCAGAAAGACUUGUGGUGCUUCAAGCACGUUGAUUAGGUUGUUUUCUUAAGAUAGUAAUGAAGUGUGAGUAUUUCAUUAACCACCCUAUAGGCUUAUUAUGAUUGAUAAUAUAAUAACACAUUAGAAGCCUAUGUACUAACUACUAAGGUAGUAAUCAUAGCAGAUGGGAUAAAUAGGAAAAGAAGAGAAACCAGAUUAUAUAAUUACACACCUAGAAGAAAGAUAUAAGGAGGGAUAGAAGAAGAGAACACAUCCAUAUAGAGACACAAUCGACACAAUAGCAAAACACAAGCCCAUUGAUAGAAUUUUAGCUAUUUCCUUAAGCUGUGAUUUGUUUCCUUUGGCACUAUGUUAGUUGUCCUCCUAACUAUGACCAUAUUGAGAAACUUAACAGCAAUAUAAUAAGAACUUCCCACGUAGCUCAUGUGCUUGAAGUCCUUAAGCUCUAUUUUUAUCUUCUAUGGAAAUGGGGCUACAAAUUGUUCUAUGGAGCUAUAGAGAAAAACUUAUAAUCUUUGUUUUCCCUAUUAACUUAUAGAAAGUUACCAAGUAGAACAUGAAAAUGGAGUCACUUUAAGCUUGAUUUCAUAUGUAGUUGGGAGACAAUUAAUUGCUAAAAGUAUAGCUGCUACAAGUAAUUUUCUAACGUUCUUCAACUACAAAUUUCACUUCGGAAUUCUAAGGUAGCAAAUAAUUGUUGAAAGUAGAGGUUCUAAAGCUCGUGCAUUAAACAAUAAAUAAUUUGAAUUCCUCGACUGUAUGUUUCAAAGAAAAUGAAGUAGCAACCCGACUAUCAACCUAUCCAUGGGAAUUGAAAGUUCAAUUUCAAGACAGAUUUGCACAGAACAUAGGCAAUGGAAUAGUAGUGCUCAAACCAGUGUUCGUUACAGCUCUUUCUCAAGCUUUACUCGAUGUAUUAGGGGAAGAACUAAUUGCUCAAGUAUUAGCUGAUCCAUAUAAUUGUUCAGACUUUAAGAUUUAUUGAAUAUCUAUCAGUGUGAACUAUUCUCUCCUAAUAGUUUUUUUUUAUCUUGAAAUUUUGUAGCUCAUCACAAUUCAUUAACACAAAGUAAAAGAAUUCACCAAAUCAAGGAAGUAAGAAGUGCAAAAUAAGAAAUUUGAUUUAUCGACCCACAAAACAUUAUGAAGCAAGAAAAAUCAAAAAGUAGAGUUACAGGAUAAAGAUGAGUAGUACCGUGACUUGAAGUAAUUUCAGCACUAUUAGGUAUUCUUGAUGACUGUGGUACUUGUUCUUGGCCAUUGUUGGUGUUGAGAAGCUGAAAUAUAUAAACAAGUUAGGUAAGAAUUGCUGAAAGUAGAAGAGCUACUGUUCGCGCAUUAAACAGUCAAUAGUAAGAGCUCCUCGACUAUAUGAUUUACAAUUAAAUUAACUAAAUUGUAUUUCAUGUAUAUUCUCCAACAAAAUCAGUAGAUUAUACAACCACACACCUUGUAAAAGCCAAAAUUAAGAAGCACUUGGAAAUUUCUUAAUAUCUUUUAGUAAUGUAAGAAAACGAGUCAUUCUUGUUUCUAAGUUAUGUAGAAUGAAGAAAGAUCCGAAAAUCAUCAAAUGCAAGAAAAAAUAUGUGAUUAAGCACCUGAACGAUGCUCAGAAAUCAUAAACUCAAGUAACAUAAUACUCCUGUUGGCGUUAUAUCUCUGUAUUGUUCUAUCUGAAACAUCGAGACAUGAUGCUUAGGAACUCAGGUUAGCGACUUGAGUAAUACAAUCUUUUUAGUGGCUUAAUAUCAAGCAUUUAAGUCAUGAUAAAGUUAGAAAAAAUUCAACAGAUCUAUGAGGUCUUUGGCUUAUCCAGAUGGAUAGAUUCCUAAUAUGCAGACUAUUAAGUAUGUGCAGGUCCAUAUGAAACUGAUAUGUAGUGAUUUCUAAGUCUAUGUCGAUCCUACUUUAUUGUCGAAAUUCUCAAUAACUCAUGUAGUAUAAAAACAUAUGACCCUUGAUAGUCAAACCAAUGACUAGAGCUCUAAAGUUGUAUGUUUCACAUUGAUAUUAAUAAUCUGAGAAGGUGAGAAGGAAUUGUAGCACGAGAUGAAAAGAAAUUGCAAGAUGAAUAACUUGUCCAAAGAAAUCUUUCCAGUAACCUAUCCAAAGGAAUUGCAAGAUCAAACAAGUUUGGAGAGAACAGAGGCGUGAACCAGUAGCGUUGAAACCACCAAUCAUUACAACUCUAGCUCGAGCUUUAGUAAAUAUAACUAGGCCGCAACUAAUUGCUGAAAAUAGAUUUGCUAUAGGUGACUAUAUAGAUGACUGGACUGUUUUGCUGAGGAAAAAUAUUGGAUAACCAAUAAAUAAGAGUAAGAGUAAAAAGAUUGGAUAACCAUUAAAUAGUCGAUCAAUAAAAAUCUGUUACCAUCUCAAGAAAUAAAAUUACAACUCACUUGGUAUCCGUUUUAAUUAAGAAAUUUGUCCAGCCAUCUGUCAAAGAGAAUGAACUCACAAUCAUUCCAACAAAUGUCAAUAGAAAUUGCAAGUUGAAAAUCCAGACAGAGUUGCAGAGAACAACGACAUCGAACAUCAGUAAUAGAACCAAUCAUCGUUAUAGCUCUUGCUCAAGUUUUAGUCAAUGUAACUGGACAACAACUAAUUGAUCUAGUUUUAGGUGUUGCCCUGUUAUAUAAUAAAAUAAUAAGCUUUAUAAUGGUCAUACUCUUCAGACACAUUUGUUAUUGAAUUUGAGAUUUCAUCUCCUAAAUCUCAUACAUGGAGGGAAAAUAACCAAAUAUGAUCAAAGCAUCUACAAACUCAGUUAUUGUCAUAAAUACAACUGGAAUUGUCAAAUACCAAGGUAAUAAUAAUAUAUCAUUACCUACGGUCAUAACCUGUAGAUCAUUGACGAUUAAGUUAUAUUAGAGGCUGAAAUGAUUCAAAUAAAACAAAGAAAUUGAAUAAUUCACACCCCUCCCUCAAAAAUACGACUCAGAUUGCUGAAUUUUUCAGCAACUUAUAAUCACGAUUUCAGGUAACUAGCAUUAGCGUCGUUAACAGAGAGAGCUCAUUGAGAGGGUUCUUAUUGAUAGAUAGCAGAACAUCGAAGUUACAGAGAGGGCUGCGUUUGAAGAUAGGAGAUUAUAAAUAAUCGCUAAAGUUAAAAUUUAUGAAAAGAUGUAGUCAAAACAAAACAAUAGUUCUCUUGUAGUGAUUCUCAUACUCAAUGGAAUUUCUGAAUCAUCAUGAAUUACAAAUAUAAAACAGCCGCCUUAUACAACAGUAAAAUCAAAGAGCUUCAUAAAAACAAUAAGGAAAACAGAAGAAUAGAUUUAAUAAGUUGCAAUAAAAUUAAUAGAAUCAAGAGAUCACCAUCACAGCUUUGCAAACCGACACUAAUAAACAUGAUAAUACAAAAUAUAGAGUGCUAAAAUCUGAAACGAGAUCAAUCGAGAAACAACAAUACACAGAAAAAGAAUCAGAUACAGACCUAUAGAGACAGAACCAGGAGAGGCAACAUUUAUCGCCCAAAUUUUGGAGAAGAACAUUCUACAUUCCGGAAUACUGUGAAAUGAAGUUAAUUUUUAACCUUCGUUACUAAUUUCACUAAAUUUACUCCCAUUUGACCGAUUGACUCAAAUUGACCCGAAAUUUUUUUAAAAAAAAAAUCUUAUUUUAACCCAAUAACCUAACCCCAUUUAAAAGAACCCGACCCAUUCUACCAAAUCUCCUAUAUUCUCAUCUACCCAUUCUCACAAAAUUCCUUCGUACUCUCCCUCACAAGGUAAGCCUAAGAACAAAUUAAUGAGUUAGAAAAAAAGACAACCUAGUUUCAUAAGGCAAAAGCAUAUAGGAUUGUUCUUUUCUCUUAAGACAAAAGCAAAAUAUGUAUGUUUUCAAUAAAGCUAACUGUAAAGAGCUCAUAUUUUUGUUCAACACCCAAAUAGAUAAAUGUUGUAUGAGAACUAUGAUAGAAUAUAAGCUUGGAUAUUUAAAUGGAAAAUAUUUGUAUAGCAUGAAUAUAUCAGCUGAAGCAUAAACACAGUUGGCGUAAGAUUCAUGUUUCCGCUGCACCGUUCUCCCCUCCUCUUUGUCGUUCUUCUACAUGCCCCUUGCUUCUUUUCCCCCUUUACUGCCCUCACCCUCUGUGUUUCCUCAUUAGUCACCACUGCAACCCCUCCCGACUGUUACUCCUGUUCCAGGCUUCAACUCAUCAAUUUGUUUUUAGGCAAGCUUUUGACGGAGAGAAUAAAGAUAUUUGGGAGAAUGGGUAGAUGGGAAUAUAGGAGAUUUGGGAGAAUGGGUCGGGUUAUUUUAAAUGGGGUCGGUUUAUUGAGUUAUAAUAAGAAAUUGGGUUUUUUAUAAAAAAAAUCGGGUUAAUUUGGGUCAAUUCGUCUAAUGGGUAAAUUUGGUGAAAUUAGUUACGAGAGGGAUAAAAUUAAAUUCAUUUUAACGACGAGGGUAAAUUUAAACAAUAAAUCAAAUUUGGGGGGUAUUUUUGACUAUUUUUCUUUUUUAAUUUGCUACUUAAUACAUAUUUAUUGCU
rnacentral:lncRNA from 1 species